rnacentral:rRNA from 1 species
UACGAAGGGGGCUAGCGUUGUUCGGAAUUACUGGGCGUAAAGCGCACGUAGGCGGAUUUGUAAGUCAGGGGUGAAAUCCCGGGGCUCAACCUCGGAACUGCCUUUGAUACUGCAAGUCUCGAGUCCGAUAGAGGUGAGUGGAAUUCCUAGUGUAGAGGUGAAAUUCGUAGAUAUUAGGAAGAACACCAGUGGCGAAGGCGGCUCACUGGAUCGGUACUGACGCUGAGGUGCGAAAGCCAGGGGAGCGAACGGG